GCCGGCUUAGCUCAGUUGGCAGAGCGUAUGUCUUGUAAACAUAAGGCCGCUAGUUCGAUUCUGGCAGUCGGCA
rnacentral:tRNA from 1 species